AACGGUCUAUACCUGCGGUACCUGCGGAGGGAUCAUUACAUGGCGGAGAAGGUGGGCAACCUGGCCAACAUCCAGGUUGUGAUGCCUUCACGCUCUUCCACCCUUGUCUAUUUGCACCUUCUGUCGUUCCCUCGGCGGGUUUCGACCCGCCGGCGGCAACAUUGAAAAACCCUUUUUGCAGUUAGCAUUCAAUUCUUCUGAUCAAAUAUUAAAUCAUUACAACUUUUAACAAUGGAUCUC
rnacentral:misc_RNA from 1 species